AGUGAACGCUGGCGGCAGGCCUAACACAUGCAAGUCGAACGAACUCUUCGGAGUUAGUGGCGGAUGGGUGAGCAACACGUGGGAACGUGCCUUUUGGUUCGGCAUAACUCAGGGAAGCUUGUGCUAAUACCGAAUGUGCCCUUCGGGGGAAAGAUUUAUCGCCAUUAGAGCGGCCCGCGUCUGAUUAGCUUGUUGGUGAGGUAACGGCUCACCAAGGCUACGAUCAGUAGCUGGGCUGAGAGGAUGACCACCGACACUGGAGCUAAGACACGGCCCGGAAUCCUACGGGAGGCAGCAGUGGGGGAUCUAGCGCAACGGGCGAAGGCAUGACGCAGCCAUGCCGCGUGAAUGAUGAAGGUCUUAGGAUUGUAAAAUUCUUUAACCGGGGACGAUAAUGACGGUACCCGGAGAAGAAGCCCCGGCUAACUUCGUG
rnacentral:rRNA from 1 species